rnacentral:sRNA from 20 species
AUGCGAUGAGUCGAGUGACCGGAAGGUCAUUUGCGCGGCAAACAUCUAAGGUUUCGAACCAAAGUCAGGAUGACGAUGUCGUUUAAGUUUGCUGUGAACAAAUUUAAACCCUAUUUUACUAGGUUGCCAUUAGGUCUGGAUGCAAAUCCAGGCCUUUUU